AUGUGUAUGUUUCUCGUUUGCCCUAUCCAAAUUUCAUUAUCUUAUUUGUUUGCAAAUAAUUCUUCUCUCUCGUCUUCUCGUUUCUUUUCCAUCCUCUGCUUUAUCACUUUCUUUUCAAGAUUCAUACACAAAGCAUAUUUUCAUCAUCUUCCUCAUAUUCCAAAGUUUCUCCGCAAAAUCAUCACCUGUUUUUUUCUCCAUCAUCCUUUCUUUCUCCCUUACAAAAUCCUCCCAUCUCGUCUUCUUCUUUCUAUCGCUUAUGGCAGACCAAUAAUAUCUGGAUUUCGCUAUAAACCCCUCUAA